GGUGAACGCUGGCGGCGUGCUUGACACAUGCAAGUCGAACGGUAUGUGGCAACACAUAGAGUGGCGAACGGGUGAGUAACACGUGGGAACGUAUCUUUUGCAGGGGGAUAACUGACCGAAAGGACAGCUAAUACCGCAUAAGUCCGAGAGGAGAAAGGUGCAAAAGCAUCGGCAGAAGAGCGGCCCGCGGUCCAUCAGCUAGUUGGUGAGGUAAGGGCUUACCAAGGCGACGACGGAUAGCCGGCGUGAGAGCGUGGCCGGCCACAAGGACACUGAGAUACGGGUCCUACUCCUACGGGAGGCAGCAGUGCGGAAUUUUAGAUAAUGGAGGGAACUCUGAUCUAGCGACGCCGCGUGCAGGAAGAAGGUCUUCGGAUUGUAAACUGCUGUGUAAGGGAAAAUGCUAUGUAGAGUGGAAAGCUACAUAGAGGGAUGGUACCUUACUAGAAAGCCCCGGCUAACUACGUG
rnacentral:rRNA from 1 species